rnacentral:rRNA from 1 species
AUUGAACGCUGGCGGCAGGCCUAACACAUGCAAGUCGAGCGAGCGGCGGACGGGGGAGUAAGGUAUAGGGAUCUGCGCGAUAGCGGGGGAUAACUACUGGAAACGGUAGCUAAUACCGCAUACUAUCGGAUGAACCCAUAUGGGAUGAGCUAGUAGGUGAGGUAAAGGCUCACCAAGGCAACGAUCCGUAGCUGGUUUGAGAGGACGAUCAGCCACACUGGGACUGAGACACGGCCCAGACUCCUACGGGAGGCAGCAGUGGGGAAUUUUGGACAAUGGGCGAAACCCUGAUCCAGCCAUCCCGCGUGUAUGAUGAAGGCCUUCGGGUUGUAAAGUACUUUUGGCAGAGAAGCGGUAUCUGCAGAAUAAGCACCGGCUAACUACGUGCCAGCAGCCGCGGUAAUUC